AGAGUUUGAUCCUGGCUCAGGAUGAACGCUGGCGGCGUGCUUAACACAUGCAAGUCGAACGAUGAAGCCCUUCGGGGUGGAUUAGUGGCGAACGGGUGAGUAACACGUGGGCAAUCUGCCCUUCACUCUGGGACAAGCCCUGGAAACGGGGUCUAAUACCGGAUAAUACCUGCCUGGGCAUCUGGGUGGGUUAAAAGCUCCGGCGGUGAAGGAUGAGCCCGCGGCCUAUCAGCUUGUUGGUGAGGUAGUGGCUCACCAAGGCGACGACGGGUAGCCGGCCUGAGAGGGCGACCGGCCACACUGGGACUGAGACACGGCCCAGACUCCUACGGGAGGCAGCAGUGGGGAAUAUUGCACAAUGGGCGAAAGCCUGAUGCAGCGACGCCGCGUGAGGGAUGACGGCCUUCGGGUUGUAAACCUCUUUCAGCAGGGAAGAAGCGAGAGUGACGGUACCUGCAGAAGAAGCGCCGGCUAACUACGUGCCAGCAGCCGCGGUAAUACGUAGGGCGCAAGCGUUGUCCGGAAUUAUUGGGCGUAAAGAGCUCGUAGGCGGCUUGUCACGUCGGGUGUGAAAGCCCGGGGCUUAACCCCGGGUCUGCAUUCGAUACGGGCUAGCUAGAGUGUGGUAGGGGAGAUCGGAAUUCCUGGUGUAGCGGUGAAAUGCGCAGAUAUCAGGAGGAACACCGGUGGCGAAGGCGGAUCUCUGGGCCAUUACUGACGCUGAGGAGCGAAAGCGUGGGGAGCGAACAGGAUUAGAUACCCUGGUAGUCCACGCCGUAAACGGUGGGAACUAGGUGUUGGCGACAUUCCACGUCGUCGGUGCCGCAGCUAACGCAUUAAGUUCCCCGCCUGGGGAGUACGGCCGCAAGGCUAAAACUCAAAGGAAUUGACGG
rnacentral:rRNA from 1 species